rnacentral:rRNA from 1 species
UACGGAGGGAGCUAGCGUUGUUCGGAAUUACUGGGCGUAAAGCGCGCGUAGGCGGCUUUGUAAGUUAGAGGUGAAAGCCCGGGGCUCAACUCCGGAACUGCCUUUAAGACUGCAUCGCUAGAAUCCGGGAGAGGUGAGUGGAAUUCCGAGUGUAGAGGUGAAAUUCGUAGAUAUUCGGAAGAACACCAGUGGCGAAGGCGGCUCACUGGACCGGUAUUGACGCUGAGGUGCGAAAGCGUGGGGGAGCAAACAGG